rnacentral:snRNA from 1 species
AUACUUACCUGGCAGGGGAGCUACCAUGACCAUGAAGGCGGUUUUCCCAUUGCACUCUGGAUGUGCUGACCCCUGCGAUUUCCCCAAAUGUGGGAAACUCGACUGCAUAAUUUGUGGUAGUGGGGGACUGCAUUUGCACUUUUCCCUG